rnacentral:rRNA from 1 species
GACGAACGCUGGCGGUGUGCUUCACACAUGCAAGUCGAACGAGGUAGCAAUACCUAGUGGCGGACGGGUGAGUAACGCGUGGGAAUCUGCCUUUAGAUGGGGGAUAACGGGUCGAAAGACUCGCUAAUACCGCAUAUGACGAAAGUUGAAAGGAGUAAUCCGUCUAAAGAUGAGCCCGCGUCCGAUUAGCUAGUUGGUAGAGUAAAAGCCUACCAAGGCGACGAUCGGUAGCUGGUCUGAGAGGAUGAUCAGCCACUAUGGGAACUAGAGACACGGCCCAUACUCUACGGGAGGCAGCAGUGGGAAUUUACGCAAUGGGCGAAAGCCUGACGUAGCGACACCGCGUGAGCGAAGAAGCCCCUUGGGGUGUAAAAGGCUCUGUCAGCU